rnacentral:rRNA from 1 species
UUUAAAUUGAGAGUUUGAUCCUGGCUCAGGAUGAACGCUGGCGGCGUGCUUAACACAUGCAAGUCGAGCGAUGAAGUUUCCUUCGGGAAACGGAUUAGCGGCGGACGGGUGAGUAACACGUGGGUAACCUGCCUCAUAGAGUGGAAUAGCCUUCCGAAAGGAAGAUUAAUACCGUAUAACGUUGAAAGAUGGCAUCAUCAUUCAACCAAAGGAGUAAUCCGCUAUGAGAUGGACCCGCGGCGCAUUAGCUAGUUGGUGGGGUAACGGCCUACCAAGGCGACGAUGCGUAGCCGACCUGAGAGGGUGAUCGGCCACAUUGGGACUGAGACACGGCCCAGACUCCUACGGGAGGCAGCAGUGGGGAAUAUUGCACAAUGGGGGAAACCCUGAUGCAGCAACGCCGCGUGAGUGAUGAAGGUUUUCGGAUCGUAAAGCUCUGUCUUUGGGGAAGAUAAUGACGGUACCCAAGGAGGAAGCCACGGCUAACUA